UACGUAGGGGAGCAAGCGUUUGUCCCGGAAUCAUUGGGCGUAAAGCGCGCGUAGGCGGCUCGAUCAGUCUGUUGUGAAAGUCAAAGGCUCACCUUUGAAUGCCGAUGGAUAUUGUCGAGCUAGAGUCCGGAAGAGGCGGGUGGAAGUUCCUCGGUGUAGCGGUGGGAAUGCGCAGAUAUCAGGAGGAACACCAACGGCGAAGGCAGCCCGCUGGGACGGUACUGACGCUAAGGCGCGAAGCGUGGGGAGCGAACGAGGAUGAGA
rnacentral:rRNA from 1 species